AGUCUGCAACUCGACUACAUGAAGCUGGAAUCGCUAGUAAUCGCGAAUCAGAAUGUCGCGGUGAAUACGUUCCCGGGUCUUGUACACACCGCCCGUCACACCAUGGGAGUUGGUAACGCCCGAAGUCAGUGACCCAACCGAAAGGAGGGAGCCGCCUAAGGCGGGACCGAUAACUGGGGUGAAGUCGUAACAAGGUAAC
rnacentral:rRNA from 1 species